AUGACCUAACAUUACACAUGUUCUUGGUCUUCCCAGCACCUUCCGCUUCCACUUUGAGAUCAUACUCUUCAAACCCAUUUUGCUCUCUCCUUUGUUUUUUUCCCGGAAAAAGACUAACUGUGCACAGCUUACCAAAUAAUCAUGGUUAUAAACAAAUUUCUCACUGGCAAUCAGGAUUCGCCUGCAAUUCUUUCUGCUUCAGUGCAUAUUUGAUUGUCCAAAUGAAUUAAAUUCAAAUUCAAAUGAAUUCAAAUUCGCGCUGAAGUACUCCAGCUAAUUACAAAUGGAAUAUUGCAAAUGCUUGGAGAAAUAAAAGAAUAAAGCAAAAAAGAGAAAAAGAUGGAAGAAAAGGAUCAUAGGGGAAUAUUCUCAAGGAAGCAUCUAGAUGGGACACCUACACCCCCCCUCUACCCUAAUUUCCCCUUAUAAAUACACACCUCCCCAUCAUGUUUCAACCUACCUAGGAUUUCAUAUUUUUAGUAGCCUCUUUUUUAUGUAGUAGAUCUAGUAGUAGCACUCUAAAUUUGUAAACACUUUUAUUAUAUCAAUACAAGUAUUCAUUUUUGUUCUUAAAUCUUGCUCUUUACUUUUACUUCUAGGCUAUGAAAUCUUUCUCUAACCACAUGAGACUCAAAAUUACUUGUGGAUUGAAAGGAGCCUAAUUAUAUGUUUUACGCUUGCAUUUUUUAGUAUUUAGAUUGAGCCCCUUUUAAUUCUCAAUAUUAUUAGUGGGUUCAAUGGUUUAGUAUUCUGGAUUUUGAUUUUAGCUUGUAGUUUGAUGGGGUUUGGUUAGAGACUUGGUAGAUAAGCUAGUUUUGAAGUUUUGUGUGAUUUGGAGUUAGUUUGGUAAGAUUUGGUGUUCUCUUUGUUCUUGAUUUUGGGGCUUUUGGGUGUAAAUUUUAGUUUAUGAUUUUGACUUGAGGUUAGUGGGUUUAUGUUGAAAAUAUUAUGUUUAGGCUAGAUUUGAAAUUUGGUGUAGUUUAGAGUUGAUUUGGUUUGAUUUGGGUCUUGUUUUGUAAAAAAAUGGGUAGUUUAGAGACUAUUUAGUGUAGAAUUUAUUGUUAAAUUUGGUUUAGAGUUUAGUGGGUUUUUAUUUGUUAUAGUUGGAAUAGCUAGAUUUUCCAGUAAAAUUAAUUUUCCGGCGAGAUUUAAGCUAUCCCGGGCACUCUCAUAAAUUCCGGCGGGGUUAUACUUUCUUGUCCGCCACCAGCGCCGCCCCUUUUUCUCUGUUUCUGUUUAUCGUUUUAGUUUUACGCGUGUUCACACUAAGAUAAACUUAACUUAUUCACUGUAUUGUUUUCAUUCACGCACGCGUACUGUUUUAUUUUAUUUUAUUUUUGUUUUAUAAUUUAUUUUUUUGUUUUGGUUAUAGAUAUUAAUCGUUAUUCCCGUUGUAACUAGUUAAUUGUCGAUUAGUCAUUUUCUUUAGUAGAUAUUAAUCAUGAAUUUAUAAUUUAGAUUUUAGGCAUUAGCUUUUAGUUUUAAUUUAGAUAAAUCAAAACCUCUCCAAAAAUCUUUUGUCUAAUUCGAUUAAAUUAGAAAUUAAGUUUUCGCGAAAAUAAAUUUAGUCCUUGGAACGAAUCUUAUAUUACUAAAACGGGAUCGUGCACUUGCGAUUAAAAUCAUAUUUUGAGCACAUCAGUUAACACACUUUCAUGGGCUUUGUCGCGAUCUCAUCAUCGAGAAAGAAGAGAUUACCGCUACUUCUAUAGAUUAAUUUAGUGAUUGUCAGCCUCUUUUGCAAUCAUGAGAAGGUUGUAGUAAUGGAGCCACAAUAAGUGAUAAGUGGAGGGAUUCUUCAAGGCAAGUUUUUUGACAUAUUGUAAUGCAUCUCAUUAUUAGUGUGAUGAUUGCAAGCUUUUUUUAAACUUUCAAUCGAAAUAUUAGCUUAUCCUAGCAAACAAUGCUGCUCCACUAUUUUAUCUGAAGUGUCUGUUUUUUAUUUUUAGUUAUAGACUUG